CCUUUGUACACACCGCCCGUCGCUACUACCGAUUGAAUGGCUUAGUGAGGUCUCCGGAUUGGCCCAGAGAGGUGGGCAACUACCACUCAGGGCCGGAAAGUUAUCCAAACUCGGUCAUUUAGAGG
rnacentral:rRNA from 1 species